rnacentral:tRNA from 1 species
AUAGAUAUAGUUUAAGAUAAAACGUUAGGAUGUGGCCCUAACAAAAGGGGUUCGAACCCCCUUAUCUAUC